rnacentral:rRNA from 1 species
GUGGGGAAUAUUGGGCAAUGGGCGAAAGCCUGACCCAGCAACGCCGCGUGAAGGAAGAAGGUUUUCGGAUUGUAAACUUCUGUCCUCAGGGAAGAAGGAAGUGACGGUACCUGAGGAGGAAGCCCCGGCUAACUACGUGCCAGCAGCCGCGGUAAUACGUAGGGGGCGAGCGUUGUCCGGAAUGACUGGGCGUAAAGGGCGCGUAGACGGCUGUCUAAGUCUGGAGUGAAAGUCCUGUUUUCAAGGCGGGAAUUGCUUUGGAGACUGGAUGGCUUGAGUGCGGAAGAGGUAAGUGGAAUUCCCAGUGUAGCGGUGAAAUGCGUAGAGAUUGGGAGGAACACCAGUGGCGAAGGCGACUUACUGGGCCGUAACUGACGUUGAAGCGCGAAAGCGUGGGGAGCGAACAGGAUUAGAUACCCCUGUAGUCC